UACGUAGGGUGCAAGCGUUAUCCGGAUUUAUUGGGCGUAAAGGGCUCGUAGGCGGUUCGUCGCGUCCGGUGUGAAAGUCCAUCGCUUAACGGUGGAUCCGCGCCGGGUACGGGCGGGCUUGAGUGCGGUAGGGGAGACUGGAAUUCCCGGUGUAACGGUGGAAUGUGUAGAUAUCGGGAAGAACACCAAUGGCGAAGGCAGGUCUCCGGGCCGUUACUGACGCUGAGGAGCGAAAGCGUGGGGAGCGAACAGG
rnacentral:rRNA from 1 species